ACUCAAAUGAAUAGACGGGGACUUGCACAAGCGGUGGAUCAUGUGGUUUAAUUCGAUGACAAGCGAAAAACCUUACCAGGGCUUGAAAUCUAUUUGAAGUUCAGCAGAAACGUUGAACGUCUCACAAGGACAGAUAGACAGGUGCUGCAUGGUUGUCGUCAGUUCGUGGUUUGAGCUGUUCCCUUAAGUGGGGUAACGAACGCAACCCUCGUUGCUAGUUUUAUUAGUCUAGCGAGACUGCUCCCUCACGGGAGAGGAAGGUGAGGAUGACGCCAAAUCAGCAUGGCCCUCUGAUGCCCUGGGCUACACACGUGAUACAAUCGCCGCUACAACGGGAUGCGACGCCGAUGUAAAGGCUGAGCCAAUCCUAAUAAAAGCGGCGCCAGUUCGGAUUGAGGUCUGCAACUCGACCUCAUGAAGCCGGAAUCGCUAGUAAUCGCGGAUCAGCAACGCCGCGGUGAAUACGUUCUCAAGUCUUGUACACACCGCCCGU
rnacentral:rRNA from 1 species